UCCUAGUGACUCAGAUGAUAAAGAGUCUGCCUGCAAAGCAGGAGACCCAGGUUCAAUCCCUGGGUUGGGAG
rnacentral:tRNA from 1 species